GAGACUUAGAGUCUCCUGAAGGAACGUUGAAGACGACGACGUUGAUAGGCCGGGUGUGUAAGCGCAGCGAUGCGUUGAGCUAACCGGUACUAAUGAACCGUGAGGCUUAACCUUACAACGCCGAAG
rnacentral:rRNA from 5 species